UACGUAGGGUGCGAGCGUUAAUCGGAAUUACUGGGCGUAAAGCGUGCGCAGGCGGUUUCACAAGCUCGAUGUGAAAGCCCCGGGCUUAACCUGGGAAUGGCAUUGAGGACUGUGGAGCUCGAGUGCGGCAGAGGGAGGUGGAAUUCCACGUGUAGCAGUGAAAUGCGUAGAGAUGUGGAGGAACACCGAUGGCGAAGGCAGCCUCCUGGGCCGACACUGACGCUCAUGCCCGAAAGCGUGGGGAGCAAACAGG
rnacentral:rRNA from 1 species